rnacentral:rRNA from 1 species
CCCUUAGAUGUUCUGGGCUGCACACGUGCUACACUGGCAGGUUCAGCGAGCUUCAUGCCCUGAUCUGAAAGGAAUGGGAAAUCUUUUCAAAACCUGCCGUGCUUGGGAUAGAUGUUUGCAAUUAUUCAUCUUCAACGAGGAUUGCCUUGUAAGCGCACGCCAUCAGCGUGCAUUGAAUACGACCCUGUAUUCUGUACACACCGCCCGUCGCUCCUACCGAUUGAAGUUUUCGGUGAGUUGACAGGAGGAUUUUUUUGAAACUGGUUCGCCAGUGGAUUUUAGAUCCAAAUGCCAACGAAUCGAUGGCUUUAGAGGAAGGAGAAGUCGUAACA